GACGAACGCUGGCGGCGUGCCUAAUACAUGCAAGUCGAGCGAGUCUGCCUUGGUGAUCGGAGUGCUUGCACUCUGUGAAACAAGAUACAGGCUAGCGGCGGACGGGUGAGUAACACGUGGGUAACCUGCCCAAGAGAUCGGGAUAACACCUGGAAACAGAUGCUAAUAACGGAUAACAUCAGAUGAUGCCUAUCAACUGUUUCAAAGAUGGUUCUGCUAUCACUCUUGGAUGGACCUGCGGUGCAUUAGCUAGUUGGUAGGGUAACGGCCUACCAAGGCGAUGAUGCAUAGCCGAGUUGAGAGACUGAUCGGCCACAUUGGGACUGAGACACGGCCCAAACUCCUACGGGAGGCAGCAGUAGGGAAUCUUCCACAAUGGACGCAAGUCUGAUGGAGCAACGCCGCGUGAGUGAAGAAGGGUUUCGGCUCGUAAAGCUCUGUUGUUGGGGAAGAAGGACAGGGUGAGUAACUGACCUUUGGUUGACGGUAAUCAAUGAGAAAGUCACGGCUAACUACGUG
rnacentral:rRNA from 1 species